rnacentral:lncRNA from 1 species
GCAUGAGCAGUGAUCCCUUCUGUUCAAAAUUUUCAGGCAACAUCGCAAUGAGGCAAAACAUUGUGCCGAAUCUGCCGUACAAAGAGUGUCAAAGCUUCACGCUACUAACGGACGAAUACAUAAGCAUUCAUUUACCUUGAAAGAAUAAAGGAAUUCUAUAGCUUCAUACAAAUUCGCCUAUCAGCAACUCUCCCUGGUCGUUCAAAAGUUGCUUGACGAUUCUACCAUCUCCAUACUAUGAAGGAGCGCUUCUUCAUUUCUUCAUUUUAUCGGAACCUUAACGUAUCCUUCCAACACAAUGUCCAUGGACAACGGUAAUGAGGUCGGCGCCUACGAGUUUGACCGGAACGCCCUGGACAACAUCGCCCGUCGGCGACAAGAUCGCCCACGCAAGAAAUACAGCCAGCAUCGUCCAGUGGAUGAGUUUGGAGUACAUAAGUUUGCCAGGGCAAACAAUCUAAGUCAAUUUACCGCGUGCCAAUUGGAGGAUGCCUUGUCCAAGGAAAGGUGCCAUAUGGACGACCUUGUGUUAGUUUAGUUGUUGCAUGUAAGCUUGUGAGUUGGUGGCCUGGUUCAUGCUUAUGGGCGACAAUUGAAAUGCCGGGACAAUGACUUAUUAGGGACAUUGACACGGCAUUUCACGCCCUCAAAGCGGGAACAAACGCUAAAACUAAAUACAUACAUAGUUCUAAAUCUUCUACUAAAAUUUUCCUGCAGCGUUAGAGGCCUUUAAAUAAUAUUGGCGAACGCUGCUUCCCGCGCUACCGGGAUACUCCCUAUGGCAUAAACAUGCCGGUUACCGACCGUUUGGGGCCCAUUAACCCAACCGACCGUUAACCCAGCUGAUCGUUAACCCAACCGACCGUUAACCCAACCGGGCCGUUAACGCCAUUCAACCGGCCGGUUGGGUUAAUGGGCCCCAAACGGUCGGUAACCGGCAUGUUUAUGCCAUAGGGCU